ACGGAGGGUGCGAGCGUUGUCCGGAAUCACUGGGCGUAAAGGGCGCGUAGGCGGCAGCGUAAGCGCGUGGUGAAAGCCCGGGGCUCAACCCCGGGUCGGCCGUGCGAACUGCGUUGCUGGAGCACUGUAGAGGCGGGUGGAAUUCCGGGUGUAGCGGUGGAAUGCGUAGAGAUCCGGAAGAACACCGGUGGCGAAGGCGGCCCGCUGGGCAGUUGCUGACGCUGAGGCGCGACAGCGUGGGGAGCAAACAGGA
rnacentral:rRNA from 1 species